UACGGAGGGCGCAAGCGUUGUUCGGAAUUACUGGGCGUAAAGCGCGUGUAGGUGGCCUGGCAAGUCGGGUGUGAAAUCCCGGAGCUCAACUCCGGAACUGCAUCCGAUACUGCCAAGCUCGAGUCUCGGAGAGGAUGGCGGAAUUUCCGGUGUAGAGGUGAAAUUCGUAGAUAUCGGAAGGAACACCAGUGGCGAAGGCGGCCGUCUGGACGAUGACUGACACUGAGACGCGAAAGCGUGGGGAGCAAACAGG
rnacentral:rRNA from 1 species